UACGUAGGGUGCAAGCGUUAAUCGGAAUACUGGGCGUAAAGCGUGCGCAGGCGGUUUUGUAAGUCUGACGUGAAAUCCCCGGGCUCAACCUGGGAAUUGCGUUGGAGACUGCAAGGCUGGAGUCUGGCAGAGGGGGGGUAGAAUUCCACGUGCAGCAGUGAAAUGCGUAGAGAUGUGGAGGAACACCGAUGGCGCAAGGGCAGCCCCCUGGGUCAAGACUGACGCUCAUGCAC
rnacentral:rRNA from 1 species